AACGAACGCUGGCGGCAUGCCUAACACAUGCAAGUCGAACGAGACCUUCGGGUCUAGUGGCGCACGGGUGCGUAACGCGUGGGAAUCUGCCCUCAGGUACGGAAUAACUCAGGGAAACUUGAGCUAAUACCGUAUAAUGACUUCGGUCCAAAGAUUAAUCGCCUGGGGAUGAGCCCGCGUCGGAUUAGCUAGUUGGUGAGGUAAAGGCUCACCAAGGCGACGAUCCGUAGCUGGUCUGAGAGGAUGAUCAGCCACACUGGGACUGAGACACGGCCCAGACUCCUACGGGAGGCAGCAGUGGGGAAUAUUGGACAAUGGGCGCAAGCCUGAUCCAGCAAUGCCGCGUGAGUGAUGAAGGCCUUAGGGUUGUAAAGCUCUUUUACCCGGGGAGAGUAAUGACUGUACCGGGAGAAUAAGCCUCGGCUAACUCCGUGCCAGCAGCCGCGGUAAUACGGAGGGGGCUAGCGUUGUUCGGAAUUACUGGGCGUAAAGCGCACGGU
rnacentral:rRNA from 1 species